rnacentral:rRNA from 1 species
UCAGGCCUAACACAUGCAAGUCGAGCGAUGAAGCACCUUCGGGUGUGGAUUAGCGGCGAACGGGUGAGGAACACGUGAGGAAUCUGCCUUCCACUCUGGGAUAACUCCGGGAAACCGGGGCUAAUACCGGAUACUUUCAACUGGCGGCAUCGCCGGUUGAAGAAAGUUUUUCGGUGGAAGAUGACCUCGCGGCCUAUCAGCUUGUUGGUGAGGUAAUGGCUCACCAAGGCGACGACGGGUAGCCGGCCUGAGAGGGCGACCGGCCACACUGGGACUGAGACACGGCCCAGACUCCUACGGGAGGCAGCAGUGGGGAAUAUUGGGCAAUGGAGGAAACUCUGACCCAGCGACGCCGCGUGAGGGAUGAAGGCCUACGGGUUGUAAACCUCUCUCAGCAGGGAAAAGCGAAAGGAAG